rnacentral:tRNA from 1 species
GGGUCCUUAGUGUAGCCUGGUUAGCAUUAGGGCUUUGGGAGCCUUAGACCCCAGUUCAAAUCUGGGAGGACCCA